CAAGUGAGACCCUCUCACCCCUGAGGUUUCCAGCUGCAAACACACUGGCUGUGUUUGGCUUUUUAUAUGUGGGGUGGGAAGGCCUCUCCCUAGGAAAUGUGUUUCCUCAUGUCAAUCUGGUCCCCACCGCAGCAGAGUGGCCUUGUUGUUGAUGCAGAGGGCCAGCAAUUCCUCUGCCAAGCUGUGCUUGCUGAAAGCUGCUUGGAGCAGACAGAUCACUACUCCAGUGAAAGCCAGGACUGGGCUUCAUUUUAUUUAUUUAUUGACUGUUUUGGGUGUGCAGUCAAGCUCAAAGCCCAUUAAAACACACACACGUAAACAAAAAA